GAGUUUGAUCAUGGCUCAGGAUGAACGCUGGCGGCGUGCCUAACACAUGCAAGUCGAGCGGAUGCUUCUGAUAGAUUCUUCGGAUGAUAGAUGAAGCGGAAAGCGGCGGACGGGUGAGUACGCGUAGGCAACCUGCCCUUUGCAGAGGGAUAGCCUCGGGAAACCGGGAUUAAAACCUCAAAUGCGACUGGAAGACAUCUUCCGGUCGCCAAAGAUUUAUCGGCAAAGGAUGGGCCUGCGCUGAUUAGUUAGUUGGUGGGGUAACGGCCUACCAAGGCGACGAUCAGUAGCCGACCUGAGGGGUGAUCGGCCACAUUGGAACUGAGACACGGUCCAAACUCCUACGGGAGGCAGCAGUGGGAAUAUUGCACAAUGGGGGAAACCCUGAUGCAGCAACGCCGCGUGAACGAUGAAGGCCUUGGGUCGUAAAGUUCUGUCCUUGGGGAAGAAUACAUGACGGUACCCUUGGAGGAAGCCCCGCUAACUACGUGCCAGCAGCCGCGGUAAUACGUAGGGGGCGAGCGUUAUCCGGAAUUAUUGGCGUAAAGAGUACGUAGGCGGUUCUUUAAGCGCAGGGUUUAAGGCAGUGGCUCAACCACUUUCGCCCUGUGAACUGGAGGACUUGAGUAUCGGAGAGGAAAGCGGAAUUCCUAGUGUAGCGUGAAAUGCGUAGAUAUUAGGAGGAACACCAGUGGCGAAGGCGGCUUUCUGGACGAAUACGACGCUGAGGUACGAAAGCGUGGGGAGCAAACAGGAUUAGAUACCCUGGUAGUCCACGCCUAAAACGAUGAGCACUAGUGUCGGGGUCGCAAGACUUCGGUGCCGCAGUUAACGCAUUAAUGCUCCGCCUGGGG
rnacentral:rRNA from 1 species